rnacentral:rRNA from 1 species
CCGGUCCCUAAGGCGAGGCUGAAAAGCGUAGUCGAUGGAAAACAGGUUAAUAUUCCUGUACUUCUGGUUAUUGCGAUGGAGGGACGGAGAAGGCUAGGCCAGCUUGGCGCUGGUUGUCCAAGUCUAAGGUGGUAGGCUGAGAUCUUAGGUAAAUCCGGGAUCUUAAGGCCGAGAGCUGAUGGCGAGUGUCCUUUAGGACACGAAGUGGUUGAUGCCAUGCUUCCAAGAAAAGCUUCUAAGCUUCAGGUAACCAGGAACCGUACCCCAAACCGACACAGGUGGUUGGGUAGAGAAUACCAAGGCGCUUGAGAGAACUCGGGUGAAGGAACUAGGCAAAGUGGCACCGUAACUUCGGGAGAAGGUGCGCCGGUGAGGGUGAAGCAUUUACUGCGUAAGCCCACGCCGGUCGAAGAUACCAGGCCGCUGCGACUGUUUAUUAAAAACACAGCACUCUGCAAACACGAAAGUGGACGUAUAGGGUGUGACGCCUGCCCGGUGCCGGAAGGUUAAUUGAUGGGGUUAGCUAACGCGAAGCUCUUGAUCGAAGCCCCGGUAAACGGCGGCCGUAACAAUAACGGUCCUAAGGUAGCGAAAUUCCUUGUCGGGUAAGUUCCGACCUGCACGAAUGGCGUAACGAUGGCGGCGCUGUCUCCACCCGAGACUCAGUGAAAUUGAAAUCGCUGUGAAGAUGCAGUGUAUCCGCGGCUAGACGGAAAGACCCCGUGAACCUUUACUAUAGCUUUGCACUGGACUUUGAAUUUGCUUGUGUAGGAUAGGUGGGAGGCUUUGAAGCGUGGACGCCAGUCUGCGUGGAGCCAACCUUGAAAUACCACCCUGGCAACUUUGAGGUUCUAACUCAGGUCCGUUAUCCGGAUCGAGGACAGUGUAUGGUGGGUAGUUUGACUGGGGCGGUCUCCUCCUAAAGAGUAACGGAGGAGUACGAAGGUGCGCUCAGACCGGUCGGAAAUCGGUCGUAGAGUAUAAAGGCAAAAGCGCGCUUGACUGCGAGACAGACACGUCGAGCAGGUACGAAAGUAGGUCUUAGUGAUCCGGUGGUUCUGUAUGGAAGGGCCAUCGCUCAACGGAUAAAAGGUACUCCGGGGAUAACAGGCUGAUACCGCCCAAGAGUUCAUAUCGACGGCGGUGUUUGGCACCUCGAUGUCGGCUCAUCACAUCCUGGGGCUGAAGCCGGUCCCAAGGGUAUGGCUGUUCGCCAUUUAAAGUGGUACGCGAGCUGGGUUUAGAACGUCGUGAGACAGUUCGGUCCCUAUCUGCCGUGGACGUUUGAGAUUUGAGAGGGGCUGCUCCUAGUACGAGAGGACCGGAGUGGACGAACCUCUGGUGUUCCGGUUGUCACGCCAGUGGCAUUGCCGGGUAGCUAUGUUCGGAAUAGAUAACCUCUGAAAGCAUCUAAGCGGGAAACUAGCCUCAAGAUGAGAUCUCACUGGAACCUUGAGUUCCCUGAAGGGCCGUCGAAGACUACGACGUUGAUAGGUGGGGUGUGUAAGCGCUGUGAGGCGUUGAGCUAACCCAUACUAAUUGCCCGUGAGGCUUGACCAA